AGAUUAAGUUAUUAAGGGCGCACGGUGGAUGCCUUGGCACUAGAAGCCGAUGAAGGACGUUACUAACGACGAUAUGCUUUGGGUAGCUGUAAGUAAGCGUUGAUCCAGAGAUUUCCGAAUGGGGGAACCCAGCAUGAGUUAUGUCAUGUUAUCGACAUGUGAAUUCAUAGCAUGUCAGAAGGCAGACCCGGAGAACUGAAACAUCUUAGUACCCGGAGGAAGAGAAAGAAAAAUCGAUUCCCUGAGUAGCGGCGAGCGAAACGGGAAGAGCCCAAACCAACAAGCUUGCUUGUUGGGGUUGUAGGACACUCUAUACGGAGUUACAAAAGAACAUGUUAGACGAAUCAUCUGGAAAGAUGAAUCAAAGAAGGUAAUAAUCCUGUAGUCGAAAACAUAUUCUCUCUUGAGUGGAUCCUGAGUACGACGGAGCACGUGAAAUUCCGUCGGAAUCUGGGAGGACCAUCUCCUAAGGCUAAAUACUCUCUAGUGACCGAUAGUGAACCAGUACCGUGAGGGAAAGGUGAAAAGUACCCCGGAAGGGGAGUGAAAGAGAACUUGAAACCGUGUGCUUACAAGUAGUCAGAGCCCGUUAAUGGGUGAUGGCGUGCCUUUUGUAGAAUGAACCGGCGAGUUACGAUCUGAUGCAAGGUUAAGCAGCAAAUGUGGAGCCGCAGCGAAAGCGAGUCUGAAUAGGGCGUUGAGUAUUUGGUCGUAGACCCGAAACCAGGUGAUCUACCCUUGGUCAGGUUGAAGUUCAGGUAACACUGAAUGGAGGACCGAACCGACUUACGUUGAAAAGUGAGCGGAUGAACUGAGGGUAGCGGAGAAAUUCCAAUCGAACUUGGAGAUAGCUGGUUCUCUCCGAAAUAGCUUUAGGGCUAGCCUCAAGUGAUGAUUAUUGGAGGUAGAGCACUGUUUGGACGAGGGGCCCCUCUCGGGUUACCGAAUUCAGACAAACUCCGAAUGCCAAUUAAUUUAACUUGGGAGUCAGAACAUGGGUGAUAAGGUCCGUGUUCGAAAGGGAAACAGCCCAGACCACCAGCUAAGGUCCCAAAAUAUAUGUUAAGUGGAAAAGGAUGUGGCGUUGCCCAGACAACUAGGAUGUUGGCUUAGAAGCAGCCAUCAUUUAAAGAGUGCGUAAUAGCUCACU
rnacentral:rRNA from 1 species